GAAUAGGUUAUGGACAAAAUAGGCGCGAAUAUAUAUAUAGUACGGUAUUUUGCGGGAUUUCGAUGCACGAUCUAACUUUCUAUAGUGCCCGUAUUAUACAACUGGCCAGGCUGGCUUGGCCCACCGCGCGGGUAAAGUUGGCCGC
ensembl:ncRNA F55F1.9 ncRNA